rnacentral:lncRNA from 1 species
AUGGCCUAUUGACUCUCCUUUCCACCCUGACUUCUUUCUCGGCAGAAGGAUGUGUAGAAAUGGAGGCAGAAUCUCGUAAUUUAGGAUUGAGAAAAUGCACCAAUUCGUGGAUGCAGAGCUCAAGCCUUGGCAUUGGAGCGUGGAGAAGGACAAAAGAGAAUCUGAAGAAACUUAGGUAGAGUGAGGAACCUCUGUUCCAGCAGAGCCACACUCUUCCGGCACUGAUCACAGAGCUAGAGGAGAAGUGCAACGAGUUUCUGCACGUGAGAGGUCAGGAAACUAGCUUGAAGUGAGAUGGGGAGGGAGCACUGAAAGACUCUUCUGGGAUUUCCACUGGACCAUGGCCAAAGCCACUAUAUCCUUUCUCGGGAGGGUCCUCCAGAGCUGGGUCGUGAAUUUCUCCAUCCAGGGCUAUGGGCAAAGCUUCAAGCCUAGAGAGGACAGCACUGAUUGACCCGAAGGGAAUGUGUGUACAGAAUCUCAGGAUCCCAGCUCUAAGCUGUUGGAAUGAAAGGGGUGCAGAGACGAUUGAUGCAGUGCCCCCAUGGAGAGCCAUGUUACAGGAAGGUAUGGACAGGGAACAGGUCUAUAGCCCAAAUAGUGUCUUCAUUCUCCUUAGAACUCCAGAGAAACAUUGCACAACUAUGUAGGUGUUCUGUGCUCCUCGUGGAUGAUCGGAGAAAUGAAGGGCCAAGGAGUCCACGUGCAACAGCAGAUUAUUUGGGAUUUUUUGGAAGGGCACAGAAGUAUUCUUCCUCAUGCUGAGACCUGAGAUUGAAAGAACUAUGACCGACAGUUUGCUCUCUCCAGGAGUGUGUCACUGCUCCAGUUAUGGCCAAAGGCCAUCAUGUCCUUGGAAGUUACCGCCUGUUGGAUCCCUGGGAUGAGGAAAAUACCGGCAGAUAUUUAGUGUACAUGACCCUGCACUCAAACACAGCCAGUCCCCAUUUUGUCGUGCGACAGAAUCGGAAGAGUGUGACAUUCGUGGAGGCCCCGCAGGAUGGGCCCUAUCACCAGGGCCGCUUCGAAAACUGUGGCUGCGUUUUGGGGCCUCCGGUGUUCAUCUCUGACGGCACUACUGGGAGAUGGAGGUGGGAGACGAGCCCAAGCUGGAGAUGGCAGUGUGUUUCGAGUCGAUGAACAGGAGGAACAACGUGCCAGUGCCCCAGGGGAAUCCUUUUCACUGAUGACCUUCCAGUCUAUAAAUGGGAGCAGUUUCUGAAUCGCCUUCCCCUUCACCUAGCUCUCUAUGGCCCGUCUUAUCUGCCUGGCUGGGAUUUUCCUGGACAUUCUGUAGGAAAAAUGCCUCAUCCACACCUUUCCUUCUGUUCACUUCUUCGGUCCACUUCAACUCUUCUUCUCCCCUUGUCAUACUUUUAGAGAUCGAAAUGCAGGACCACUGCCCAUCGGACGAGUGUGCCAGCCGAGAUUGAGAUUGACCUCCCCCACCACCCUUUUUGCUGCUUGAGUUGGCCUGACACGUUCUCCAUGGUCUAGAGGGAGCUUGGGCCAUCCAUUUCCCCCUUCGCCCCUGCUUAUAGUAACGCAUUUCCCAUUUAUCGCCCUUCUUCUACCUGACUCCUGAAGAUGUUUUCUAGCUGGUCUUGGAUAGAGAGCCCAGUUUGGGGAAGCUUCCGGUGGCACUGCCACCCCAAAUCAGAAAAUGAUAUCUCUUGAGUGUUUACAAUGUGCAGGUCAUGGAACUGAAAGUUGGGAGAAAAAAAUGCUGAGGGUUGAUGAGAGCGAGUCCAGCAUCCAACUUACAGUCAAAGAUAUAGUAGAGAGAUAUAGUAAUUGCUCUGGGGGUGGGGGCAAGGGGAAAAUGUAUAAAAAUACUUCAGGAGUGUGAACGCCAGGGUAUUGAUGAGAUCCAUAUCAGGUAUGAAACUCAAGUAAUUUUUCGGGUAAAAUCGGUGAAUUAGCAGUGUUCUGCAUUGCUUUGUAUCUUCAAGUGUCUUCUGUUCGACCUCCUAUCUACAUCAGCUACAAAAAAACAACUGUGGAAUAGACAGGAGAAAGUCCAUCCCAGAAGAGCAACAAGUGAGGGGCAACAUCCCGGAUGACAAACUUGUACGGGCCCCAUGUCAGCAGUACUAUCCUCUACCUUUAUAUCAGUCCACAAAUAUUCAGGAUGUUCCUUUUAAUCCUCCUUCACACUCUGAGUAACUCUGAGUGUUAGAGACCUUUUCCCCUCAGGAUCACAGCAUGGGCAUGAGUCCUCCAGAUUCUGGCCUAAGUGCGAAUGGAUUGGGUAAUGCUUAGCGGUUCAGAAAUACAAGCACCAUCAUCACUAAUGAUCAUUGUACUGUUAUUAAUAAAAAAAGGUUAUCAUUACUUUUUAGCCUCAUCAUUCUUAUUACCCCAGCCAAUUAUUCCCUGGUACCUGGUAACAGAUGGCUGUUGCUUUAAUGAAAACUGUCAGUGAAGAGGUCAUAGAAAUUUCCACUUCCAGCCCACCGAGGGGGUCAGAGGGGUAGGUGAAAGAGCAGUCCCUCCAUCCAAAUCUGUAGCCACCAUUCUUAUCACGUUGUCAAAGGAAUGAACCUAGCCUUCAUGCCUACAUGUGUUUAUUAAUAACUCUAUAUUUAGCGGAAUUUGGUGAUGAUGGCAUCAGGGCCACUUCGAAAUUGCACAUGGAACUUGAUUCCGGGACGUCGAAGGUAAACUUCUUAUGGCCAGAGAAUGUGUCCGGUCCUUCUCUUGUCCUUCUACAAUAC